UCUAAUAGUAUAAGCUUUUCAUAUAGUACGAAAUAUUUGUUUGGAUCCAAUCGGGACAUUUGAUAAGGAUUGAUAACGUUUGUGACGUGACACAAAUCGUCCGUAAUAGUAGUUUUACUUCUAGUCUUAACUGCUUGGGAGUUUCUCUGUUAAUAAUUUUUAUAGUUUUGUGGCUAAUUUUUUAACUGUAAUUAAUAAAUAACAGCUCGUCAGUUUUAAUACAUGUUUAAUGAAAUUUAAAUUAUAGUCUGUUGGUUCUGUUUACCAAUUGUACAUAGUAAUGCUUAAAUUGUAUUCAUUACGACUUAGUAUGUUCUAAAUUAAAGACUUUAUAAGAGUGUUUCCUUAGAUUGGCUGAAUAUCAUUAAAAAUUGAAAACUAUCUGUUGCAUAAAAAUGACUGACAAAGAAGAAAAAGAUAAUACUGACCAAAAGCCAUUGGAGUUGAAGAAAAAUAACCAGAAAAAACCAGCAAAUCUUACAUAUUCAUAUGUCCCACGUGAGAAAUCACCCCCUCUAUCAAACAACUUUCAUCCAGGUGAAGAUCAUUUAGUUAAAGAACCAUUUUAUUGUGAUUUUUGUAAGAAUAUGUGUGAGCAAGAAGAGCAUUACCGACGUUACAUACUCAAUGAAUGGUGGAUAUUGAGACAUUAAUAAAUACUAACAUGCUUAUGCCAUGUCUCUUAUAAA